UGUGCCGCUUUUCCCAGGGAUCGGGCACCAUUCUGGACCCACGUUCAGUAAACUCGUUACUCCUCAGAGCUGCUCCUGGGCGCUGGGAGAUGGAAUAGAUAACUAGGUUUUUUUAUAGCUGUCCUCUGAUGAUCUAGAUAAAGUAUACGCCUGUGCAUUUCAAAGUAAUCUCACAUUUGAGGAGACUAACAAUUCCUGUUUUUGCCAGCAAUCAAGUUGAAGAAACGUUUCCACUACUUAAAGAGGUACCUGUAAACUGUAUUUAUUCAGCUGUCCCAAUGGGAUUU